UACGUAGGUGGCAAGCGUUGUCCGGAAUUAUUGGGCGUAAAGCGUGCGCAGGCGGUUUUGUAAGUCAGAUGUGAAAUCCCCGGGCUUAACCUGGGAACUGCGUUUGAAACUACAAGGCUAGAGUGUGGCAGAGGGGGGUGGAAUUCCACGUGUAGCAGUGAAAUGCGUAGAGAUGUGGAGGAACACCGGUGGCGAAGGCGGGUCUCUGGGCCGAAACUGACGCUGAGGAGCGAAAGCGUGGGGAGCAAACAGG
rnacentral:rRNA from 1 species